CUACUGGUGAGACUGCAGCUAUAUAUCAAACGGAGGACACCUCGGCUCACCCCUUCCUUUCCCAAGCACGUCAGGUAACUACGGUGGCCUUCGCAUACCAGAAAGGAUGUCGUUCUUCUUCAUUUGGUGGCGGUAAUGAAGCUUAAGCACUUGGCGCCACCCGGCAUUCAAACAGAAGAAGAGGGAAAUAAGGCACUUUUCCAAUUGCAAUGACCAUACUUGUGCACUCCUGUACUUGGAUAAGGACCUGUCCAGUGUGUCACUUUAGGCAUCUUCCUGUUUGAGCUUCCUCCUCAGAUCCAGAGAGAGCAGACGUCCCUGCAGGAUAAUACUCGGAUGAACAUUAUCUACAGACAACAGCCUCGGAUUUACCCAAGCUGCACUCCGGACAGGAAACUAUCCAUGACCUCUGUGUUGGAGGUGGCGUUGGAUUGCAGCAGGUCAUCACUUUCCUAAUCAGCUCUUCUGCUGGCUCCUCCACAGAGAGGUCAUCCUUCCCUCUGACGCAGUGCCCAUCUGCUGGUCAGAGUUAUGAAGAGGAAAUGCAGAAUUUCUUAAAACAUGCUCAAGAUAUGGAUACCUGAUUGAAUCUGGUUUACGUUUCCACAAAGAAGACAUGGUUGUCGAGGAGUGGGUGAGUGAGGAGGCUCUCA